GUCACUUCGCCUCCACUCUUCUCCUAAUCAGCUCUGUUCCUGGCGUGGUCUUCCAGGAUAGACGCCAGAUAAAGGGGCAAGACGUGUGUUAAUAAUACUUAUUAACAUUAUUCUACAACUACCGGCCCUUACCUAUUCUACUUGUGCUCCAUCCAAGUGGUAGGAGAUUCCAGAACAUCGGAUUACCAUCUGCCCAGGAUAACCUACAUAAAUAACAUCAGAGGAACUAUCCAGGGCCAUACCUACUCCUA